rnacentral:rRNA from 1 species
UACGGGGGGGGGCAAGCGUUGUUCGGAAUUACUGGGCGUAAAGGGCUCGUAGGUGGCCAACUAAGUCAGACGUGAAAUCCCUCAGCUUAACUGGGGAACUGCGUCUGAUACUGGAUGGCUUGAGUUUGGGAGAGGGAUGCGGAAUUCCAGGUGUAGCGGUGAAAUGCGUAGAUAUCUGGAGGAACACCGGUGGCGAAGGCGGCAUCCUGGACCGGUAUUGACGCUGAGGCGCGAAAGCCAGGGGGAGCAAACAGG